CCUUGUCAUUUGCAAAUCAAUUAAGGGGGGGGGGGGUGAAAUUUCGUAUGUGAAUAUUGCGAGAAAAGUUUGUUCAAAUCAACCUUACAGCCGAAGCGCAAAAAAUGUGGCGGGAUCUACAAUAUUUUGACAAUUCAAUAAGUAUGUGGAGUGGGAAGAUUAUGUGCUGCUAUUUUGAAAUGAUAAUUUUAGCUGAGCACUACAUAAUUUACAGUAGCGGAUCUAAUGGGUGGGGUUUAUUUGAAUGCAGGCGCGUAAAGCUCUACGUUUACGUCAAAACGCCCGGGCGUACACAUCAAAAAAAAAAAAAAAAAAAAAAACGUAUUAAGUCUGAUUCUGGCCACGGUAUGUCACAGAUUUUGAUGAAACUUUGUGUGUAACAAUAUUAUGAUACAAACAUAGGUGGAAAAUAAGUGUGUGCAGUAUCUGCGGUACAUUAGUCUCCCCCGGACCCCCUAUCAGGGCCCUGCCCUGGACGCCACUGGAAUGUUAUCAACCAAAUAUUAUCAGCAUUUGCUCUUUUGCGGUCUUCGAUUCAUCUCCCUUUUUGAAGGAAUUUUCUGGAUCCGCCACUGAUUUGUUAUCAAGAAAUACAACUCAUUCCCACUAAAAAUCUACAAGAGUUGUCGUUCUUUAAGAAGCAGAAGACACUUGCUGUGAAAACGGAAAUGCAUGCCGAAUUCUGAAGAAAAACUUGUUUUUAGGGAUCUUUAAAGGAUGUUGUCCACUAAGCUAAUGAUGGGGAUCGUAGCACUACCCUGCACACAGACAUGGAAUGGAUCUGCCUAGUCCAUUAUCAGAAGAGUGACCGGGACUGUUCGUCCCACCAGAGAAGUGUCUCGAGAAGCAUUACAAGGUACUGAAUGGGCAGAAGAAUUUUUUUAGCUGACUAUCCCAUCAUUGCCUGCUGUUGGAGACUGAACACUUUAUUGAAAAUUGCUGGGGUGUAGCAAUCAGUGGGUGUCCUCAUUUGCCCUGAGAAGAGUCAGAGAAGAAUUUUAGGGUCCUCGGGGGCUGAAUUAAGGUUCCAUUCCCAUGCUAAAAAAGCAGGUAUUUUCCCAUUUUGUACUGUGAAAUUCCCAAGCAAUGAAAACAAAUUAAAGCAGGGUAGCCUAAUUGUUCAUAAAUCUUCACUGGCCCAUAGAUUACAAAUUUUGCCUAACAAUUGUUAUAUAAACCUAAUAUUUUGGCCUCUGCUUAUUUGAAUGAGGUACGUAAGCUCUGACCAAAUUGAAAGUCAGAAAGAGUCCAGUUCUACCUUAAAACUGGAAAAGCCGAGGUUGUUCAAAUGAAGACCUUAAAAAAACCAGAAUUUAAAAUGUAAAAUCCAUUGCCCCUCUGUCAGGGUCAGGCUCCAAAACAGGGUCAGUAUAAGAAAAUUAUUAUUGCCUUUGUAUCCUUAUUGUUACAUAUAACCAAUGCUCAGGUGACCGAUAACGUCAGUGAGUUUCCUGUUUAGAAAAUAACAAGCUGGCUUCUUUUGACAAAAUUCAUGAGGAUUGUAAUUUCCUCAAACUUUCAUUUACUAGUAUUUGUCUGAUUUCUGGCCAUUCCAGCACUCAUUGUAACUUUGGUUUUUCAGCUCCCUGGUCCUCAUGAGAUGGUGACACCCUGCAGUAGGAGCAGUUCCUAUCGGUAUCUCUUAAAAGCAGACAGAGGUUUUCUUAGCAUCUGAUCCAUUUCUGGAGACAAAAUUUUGUAUGGAGCUGCUCCCUGGUCCUCAUGAGAUGGUGACACCCUGCAGUAGGAGCAGUUCCUACUGGUAUCUCUUGAAAGCAGAGAGAGGUUUUCUUAGCAUCUGAUCGAUUUCUGGAGACAAACUUUUGUAUGGAGCUGGGUAGCAGUUACUUAAGAUGUCCGGCUGAUUGACGAGGAUAGUUCCCUAAGACUCUGACAAUCUGUAGGACUUGGAUAGCUCUAUUGCGAUAGAAAAUGUCAGGACGGUGGAGAUUUAGAUAAGUGGUGUGAUGUUAUUGAUGGUCAACAGAAGACUGUGACCUUGAAUCUGAAGAUCUGUGAUGAAGACUGGACGUUUGGGGUCACUCUCUGUUACAGUACUACAAAUCUAA